rnacentral:rRNA from 1 species
UCGACCUCAAAUCAGGUAGGAUUACCCGCUGAACUUAAGCAUAUCAAUAAGCGGAGGAA